UACGAAGGGUGCAAACGUUGCUCGGAAUUAUUGGGCGUAAAGCGCACGUAGGCGGCUUAGCAAGUCGGAAGUGAAAUCCCUCGGCUCAACCAAGGAAGUGCUUUCGAAACUGCUGAGCUUGAGUACGGAAGAGGAUCGCGGAAUUCCCGGUGUAGAGGUGAAAUUCGUAGAUAUCGGGAGGAACACCAAUGGCGAAAGCAGCUCUCUGGGACGGUACUGACGCUGAGACGCGAAAGCGUGGGGAGCGAACAGG
rnacentral:rRNA from 1 species